rnacentral:tRNA from 1 species
UGAAGUGUAGGUUAAUGAAACUGAAGUCUUGUGGCGACUUUGAUUCCUUUGGAUACUUUAU